AGACACUUGCACUGGAUGAUUGACAAAACACAAUAGCAAAUCUGGCUUUACAGAGGGGUGCAAGAGAUGGGCUUAGGAGUCUGACCUCCUCACAGCUGCUAUGUAGGUGGGCACAGGCUCAGCUGCUUGCAGGACAUGAAGCAUACAAAUACCACAACACAACAAAAAAAAGUGCUGGCUGUUCAAAGACAAAGUAACUACUUUCCAGCGCACCUUAGUAAAAAAGAUUUUUCCUAAGAAAUGCAUAAGGAGUUUUGCAAGAUGAAAUGGAAAGAGUAUAUAAAAGAAAGAAAAAGCAAAUCAAGAAGUUUGUAUGAAGAGCAUGAAUACUUCUAUGAUAUUCAACUGUGAAACAGCUGAUACUCUUGCUUUGACGCUUGACCUGCCAACUCUUCCUCUCUCUACAAUCCCAUCAUUUAGAAAAGCAGUUUGAGAGAAUUCUGACAAGUUAUGAUAUUUUCCUUUCUUUUCAUAAAAACAGGUACUACUGGUGUCUCUACUGAUGUUUCAAAACCAAUUAGAUCUUGGUCUUUGG
ensembl:lncRNA